AUGGCCAAGGCGCAGAAGGAGGUGCGGUGUGCAUUUGACCACAAGAACCGACAAGACCAUGAGGCACACAUGGAGGAGCUUCGCUACACAAAGAUGGUAGUCAAGAAGGCCAUGAGGCUUCACCCGGUGGUUCCGCUCCUGCUCCCCCGUGUCUGCAGGCAGACCUGCGAUGUCCAUGGGUACAGGGUCAAGGAGGGCACCCUUGUCUUCGUCAACGCAUGGGCGAUGGCAAGGAGCCCCGAGUACUGGCAGGACGCAGAGGAGUUCAGGCCAAAGAGGUUCGAGGACAACACGGCGGACUACAAAGGCACACAGCUAGAGUACCUGCCAUUUCGAAGUGGAAGGAGGAUGUGUCCUGGGAACAUCUUUGCAUUAGCCUUGGUAGAACUCGUCGUGGCACGACUUCUAUACUACUUCGACUAG
rnacentral:rRNA from 1 species